UACAGAGGUCCCAAGCGUUGUUCGGAUUUACUGGGCGUAAAGGGUGCGUAGGCGGUUGUUUAAGUCUGACGUGAAAUCUCCGGGCCUAACCCGGAAACUGCGUUGGAUACUAUUCAACUAGAGGAAUGGAGGGGAGACUGGAAUACUUGGUGUAGCAGUGAAAUGCGUAGAUAUCAAGUGGAACACCAGUGGCGAAGGCGAGUCUCUGACAUUUCCUGACGCUGAGGCACGAAAGCCAGGGGAGCAAACGGG
rnacentral:rRNA from 1 species